AGUGAACGCUGGCGGCAGGCCUAACACAUGCAAGUCGAGCGGCAGCGGGUUCCCGCGAGGGGAUGCCGGCGAGCGGCGGACGGGUGAGGAACACAUCGGAAUCUGCCUGGUUGUGGGGGAUAACGUAGGGAAACUUACGCUAAUACCGCAUGCGACCCUGAGUCGACGGACUGGGGGUGAAAGUGAGGGACCGUUCGGGCCGUCACGCGACCAGAUGAGCCGAUGUCGGAUUAGCUAGUUGGCGGGGUAACGGCCCGCCAAGGCGACGAUCCGUAGCUGGUCUGAGAGGAUGAUCAGCC
rnacentral:rRNA from 1 species